rnacentral:rRNA from 1 species
UGGGUGAUACAGAGGGCCGGCCGCUGGCAACAUCGGUCCAAUCCUUAAAGUCAUCCUCAGUUCGGACUGGGGUCUGCAACCCGACCCCACGAAGCUGGAUUCGCUAGUAAUCGCGCAUCAGCCAUGGCGCGGUGAAUACGUUCCCGGGCCUUGUACACACCGCCCGUCAAGCCAUGAAAGCCGGGGGGCGCCUGAAGUCCGGGACCGCGAGGACCGGCCUAGGGCGAAACUGGUAACUGGGGCUAAGUCGUAACAAGGUACC